rnacentral:rRNA from 1 species
CUAUUGGAUCCAGACUUUGAUCCUGGCUCAGGAUGAACGCUAGCGGCAGGCUUAACACAUGCAAGUCGAGGGGCAGCGCGGGAUAGCAAUAUUCUGGCGGCGACCGGCGGAAGGGUGCGUAACGCGUGAGCGACAUGCCCGUUGCCCGGGGACAACCGGUGGAAACGCCGACUAAUCCCCGAUGGGAUACGAUGCUUCAUGGCAUUGUAUUGAAAGUUACGGCGGCGACGGAUUGGCUCGCGUCCGAUUAGCUGGUUGGCGGGGUGACGGCCCACCAAGGCUACGAUCGGUAGGGGUUCUGAGAGGAAGGCCCCCCACAAUGGGACUGAGACACGGCCCAUACUCCUACGGGAGGCAGCAGUGAGGAAUAUUGGUCAAUGGGCGGAAGCCUGAACCAGCCAUGCCGCGUGCGGGAAGGAGGCCCUAUGGGCUGUGAACCGCUUUUGCCUGGGGGCAAUAAGGGCGUCGCGCACGUCCGAUGAGAGUACCAGGCGAAUAAGCAUCGGCUAACUCCGUGCCAGCAGCCGCGGUAAUACGGGGGAUGCGAGCGUUAUCCGGAUUCAUUGGGUUUAAAGGGUGCGUAGGCUGUGCGUCAAGUCGGGGGUGAAAUUCCGGUGCUCAACACCGGGGCUGCCCUUGAUACUGUCGCGCUGGAGUGCGGAUGCCGCCGGAGGAAUGAGUGGUGUAGCGGUGAAAUGCUUAGAUAUCACUCAGAACACCGAUUGCGAAGGCAUCUGGCGAAUCCGUAACUGACGCUGAGGCACGAAAGCGUGGGGAUAGAACAGGAUUAGAUACCCUGGUAUUCCACGCCGUAAACGAUGAUGGCUAACCGCCGGCGACACACUGUCGGUGGCCAAGCGAAAGCGAUAAGCCAUCCACCUGGGGAGUACGUCGGCAACGAUGCAACUCAAAUGAAUUGACGGA